GAUGAACGCUGGCGGCGUGCUUAACACAUGCAAGUCGAACGAAGCACCUUAUUCUGAUUUCUUCGGAAUGAAAAAUUUGGUGACUGAGUGGCGGACGGGUGAGUAACGCGUGGGUAACCUGCCUCGUACAGGGGGAUAACAGUUAGAAAUGACUGCUAAUACCGCAUAAGACCACAGCACCGCAUGGUGCAGGGGUAAAAACUCCGGUGGUAUGAGAUGGACCCGCGUCUGAUUAGGUAGUUGGUGGGGUAACGGCCUACCAAGCCGACGAUCAGGAGCCGACCUGAGAGGGUGGCCGGCCACAUUGGGACUGAGACACGGACCAAACGCCUACGGGAGGCAGCAGUGGGGAAUAUUGCACAAUUGGGGAAACCCUGAUGCAGCGACGCCGCGUGAGCGAUGAAGUAUUUCGGUAUGUAAAGCUCUAUCAGCAGGGAAGAAAAUGACGGUACCUGACUAAGAAGCACCGGCUAAAUACGUGCCAGCCGCCGCGGUAA
rnacentral:rRNA from 1 species